UAAUCAAUUAGAACUUAAUCCUGAUUAAAAUUAAUAUUUCAAUUCAUGAUAAAAAAAUUAAGUUAAACUUAAAUAACCCAAUCCUAAUUAUACACCAUUAUGUGAUCUUUGCGUUCGUGUGGCUGCGGUAGAGUGAUGGUUGAUGGUUGAAGCUUGAAGAAUGCUCAUCUCUUCCUCCUGAGACGGCUUCUGCAAUCGUGGUUUCUUCGACUGCAUGGUCGAAUUUGUGUCUGCACGAUGCUUAUGCUGCCUCCGGUCGUGAUUGGGGUAGAAGACGAUAUAGGACGAUGAAGAAGUGAUGCAGAGGAGGAGUUUGAAGAGGCGAACAGAAUGAAGAAGAGGUGGAAAUAGAGGUUUCAAGGAUGAAACAGAAAUGAAGAUGGGAUUGAAGAGUUGAAAAGAUUGCCGACUCCAGUAGAGAAUUGCAGAAUGGAAUUUGUGCAGGUUUAUGAAAGCGUGCCCUUGGAACAAGAAAGUUGGAGUUUAGUCAUUAAAAGUGGAAGCCUAAUUUUUUUGGAUUUGUAAGAUGGUCCAAUUUGUAAUGUUUAUGAAUAUAUAUUUUUUGAAUGAAAAUGGGCUUACAUUAGGUGCAAUAUAACCAGCCCAAGCCAACAUUAUCAUGUUGUUUAAAAAGUGACUUGCUUUGGGUUGAUUUUGUGACAA